GAUGAACCACUUCGGUGGGGAUUAGUGGCGAACGGGUGAGUAACACGUGGGCAAUCUGCCCUGCACUCUGGGACAAGCCCUGGAAACGGGGUCUAAUACCGGAUACUGACCACCACAGGCAUCUGUGGUGUUCGAAAGCUCCGGCGGUGCAGGAUGAGCCCGCGGCCUAUCAGCUUGUUGGUGAGGUAACGGCUCACCAAGGCGACGACGGGUAGCCGGCCUGAGAGGGCGACCGGCCACACUGGGACUGAGACACGGCCCAGACUCCUACGGGAGGCAGCAGUGGGGAAUAUUGCACAAUGGGCGCAAGCCUGAUGCAGCGACGCCGCGUGAGGGAUGACGGCCUUCGGGUUGUAAACCUCUUUCAGCAGGGAAGAAGCGAAAGUGACGGUACCUGCAGAAGAAGCGCCGGCUAACUACGUGCCAGCAGCCGCGGUAAUACGUAGGGCGCGAGCGUUGUCCGGAAUUAUUGGGCGUAAAGAGCUCGUAGGCGGCUUGUCGCGUCGGUUGUGAAAGCCCGGGGCUUAACCCCGGGUCUGCAGUCGAUACGGGCAGGCUAGAGUUCGGUAGGGGAGAUCGGAAUUCCUGGUGUAGCGGUGAAAUGCGCAGAUAUCAGGAGGAACACCGGUGGCGAAGGCGGAUCUCUGGGCCGAUACUGACGCUGAGGAGCGAAAGCGUGGGGAGCGAACAGGAUUAGAUACCCUGGUAGUCCACGCCGUAAACGGUGGGCACUAGGUGUGGGCAACAUUCCACGUUGUCCGUGCCGCAGCUAACGCAUUAAGUGCCCCGCC
rnacentral:rRNA from 1 species